rnacentral:rRNA from 1 species
AGUGAACGCUGGCGGCAGGCCUAAUACAUGCAAGUCGAACGGCAGCACAGUGGAGCUUGCUCCAUGGGUGGCGAGUGGCGGACGGGUGAGGAAUACAUGGGAAUCUGCCCAGUCGUGGGGGAUAACGUAUGGAAACGUACGCUAAUACCGCAUGCGCCCUUCGGGGGAAAGUCGGGGACCGCAAGGCCUGACGCGAUUGGAUGAGCCCAUGUUCGAUUAGCUAGUUGGCGGGGUAACGGCCCACCAAGGCGACGAUCGAUAGCUGGUCUGAGAGGAUGAUCAGCCACACUGGAACUGAGACACGGUCCAGACUCCUACGGGAGGCAGCAGUAGGGAAUAUUGGACAAUGGGCGAAAGCCUGAUCCAGCGACGCCGCGUGGAGGAAGAAGUCCUUCGGGAUGUAAACUUCUGAACUAGACCGAAUAAAAGGACCUGUGGACACACAGGAGAAGAAAGUAGGACUAGGAAAGUACCCGGACUAACUACGU